UUCUAGCUGUGGAGAGGAUUGUGAGAAUUGUGAGGGAACAAGGAGAAAGAGCCAUUACAGCUGUCUGCAGUGCAUUAAAAAUUCCCAUGUUCUGUGCGCCUUUGGUUGAUGCUCUUCUAGCAGGAAUCGAAAAACGUUUUGGACAGAUGCUUGUUGAUCCAGAGCUAAUCGCUGCGAUUCUACUCCCCAAAUUUAAGACGUGCUGGACAAGUGAUGAAUGUGUCCUGAAACUUGGUCUUGACUAUAUUAAAAGCCACCUGAAACAACAAAUGGAAGUGCAUCAAAGUGAGACCUCACAUUCCUCAGAAGAUGAUGACUUUUUU